AAAAAAAAAGAGAUGCCUAGCCAAUCAUAUACAAUUGAGCCAAAUUUGUAUCCUUCACCAAAGGAGGCUGGUUGAUUUUUUAUGGAGAUAACGGUGCUUUUUUAAUGAUUUUUUUUUGGCUGACAAUUCUUCCAUGGUUGAUGAGGCUGUGUUGACAUCUAGUUCAUAACCUUAGGUUAUCAGUUCUUAUACCCCCUCUGAGGCGGCUUCACCAUAUACCAGUAUGUUACACUGUACAGUGAAUUCUCUUUUUAUUCUGCAGAACCAAGUUUUGGUUAUUCUUUCCAUGAUACAAUGGGAAUUUAAUUAUUUACAAAAUAUCCCAUAUUCGCCUUUUUAUUUGAUGCAAUUUUAUGGGCUAUCUUAUUCUUGAUGCCAUUAAAUUUAUUUAAUGUGUAUUUGUGGUUUCGCUUGGUUUUAGAUCAGAAAUUUGAAAAAGAUCAUACAAGUAGCAAUCAGUUUGAUCCUUUAAUGAAGCUAUUUGUUUCCUCAAUCAAGCCUUGCUUUGUUGAUGAAAUUUUUGUUAUAGUUAGUUUUGGAAUUUAUUGUCUACAAAUGAAUUUGUUGGUUAUGAUAAUUAGAUUGUAUUUGCAUUGUU
rnacentral:misc_RNA from 1 species